rnacentral:rRNA from 1 species
GGGGAAUAUUACACAAUGGGGGAAACCCUGAUGCAGCGACGCCGCGUGAAGGAAGAAGUAUUUCGGUAUGUAAACUUCUAUCAGCAGGGAAGAAGAAAGACGGUACCUGACUAAGAAGCUCCGGCUAAAUACGAGCCAGCAGCCGCGGUAAUACGUAUGGAGCAAGCGUUACCCGGAUUUACUGGGUGGAAAGGGUGCGCAGGUGGCAUGGGAAGUCAGAAGUGAAAACCCGGGGCUCAACCCCGCGGAUUGCUUUUGAAACUAUCAGGCUGGAGUCCGGGAGAGGUAAGCGGAAUUCCUAGUGUAGCGGUGAAAUGCGUAGAUAUUAGGAGGAACACCAGUGGCGAAGGCGGCUUACUGGACCGGGACUGACACUGAGGCACGAAAGCGUGGGGAGCAAACAGG